UACGUAGGGGGCAAGCGUUAUCCGGAUUUACUGGGUGUAAAGGGAGCGUAGACGGCUUUGCAAGCCAGAUGUGAAAGCCCGGGGCUCAACCCCGGGACUGCAUUUGGAACUGUAUGACUGGAGUGUCGGAGAGGCAGGCGGAAUUCCUAGUGUAGCGGUGAAAUGCGUAGAUAUUAGGAGGAACACCAGUGGCGAAGGCGGCCUGCUGGACGAUGACUGACGUUGAGGCUCGAAAGCGUGGGGAGCAAACAGG
rnacentral:rRNA from 1 species